CCGCUGCGUGUCGUCUAUCCUAUCUCCCUUUCUGAGCUCCGGCUCAGUCUAUCUGGUUCUUUUACUUUGAAAAAAUUAGAGUGUUUAAAGCAGGCGUUGCGCAUUGAAUACAUUAGCAUGGAAUAAUAACAUAGGACUUCGGCCUCUAUUUUGUUGGUUUCUAGAACUGAACUAAUGAUUGAUAGGGACAGCUGGGGGAGCUAGUAUUGAGCGGCCAGAGGUGAAAUUCUCGGAUUCGCUCAACACUAACUUAUGCGAAAGCAUUCACCAAGGUUUUUUUCUUUAAUCAAGAACGAAAGUUGCGGGAUCGAAGA
rnacentral:rRNA from 1 species